rnacentral:rRNA from 1 species
GGUUUCCCUUUACGAAUUGUAGUUUAAAGAAGUGUUUUCUGUUGAGGUUUUGGUAAAAGUUCUUUGGAAUAGGACAUCAUAGAGGGUGAGAAUCCCGUAUUUGACCUUUACUUUCAACUUUGUGAUACACCUUCAAAGAGUCGGAUUGUUUGGGAAUGCAGUCCAAAAUGGGUGGUAAAUUUCAUCUAAAGCUAAAUAUUGGCGAGAGACCGAUAGCGAACAAGUACCGUGAGGGAAAGAUGAAAAGAACUUUGAAAAGAGAGUUAAACAGUACGUGAAAUUGUCAAAAGGGAAGCGUUUGACACCAGUGUUGUUUUUCUGAAAAUCAAUUAAAGAACUGUUUAUGCUAAGUUGUUUAGACUUUAUCAGCUAACUGUUUAGUUUUGAGCUUUUCUUU